rnacentral:lncRNA from 1 species
UUGUCAUGGAUACGGACACGCACAUCCGUCCGGCUGCGGCAAUAAAGCUUCUCUACAUGCGACCCACAAACGAUCCCAUCAGUAAAAUUGUGUGUAGGAGUUGGGAGAGAGAUCUGUCCGUACAUCAUGUGAGCCUGUUGUCGUCUACUACGUGCAGCUGCUGCCUAGAUACCUGCUGAGUAACACAGAGACGCUGCCUCCCUCUCUACAGCUACUCAACGGUUACCUGGUUGGCUACCUGAAGACGUGAGAUGCUGCAGGAGACAGACAGACAGACAGACAGACAGACAGACAGACAGACAGACAGACAGACAGACAGACAGACAGGUUGGCUACCUGAAGACGUGAGCUGCUGCAGGAGACAUAUAUAUGUAUAUAUAUAGAGAGAGAGAGAUAGAGGGAGAGAGAGAGAGAGAGCACUGAGGGACGAUGGCUGGUCGGAUAGCAAUGCUAGAUCUACUGCAGAAUGACUGGAAGUCAUAUCACUCUCACUGAAAUUAUGAAUAGGUGCGUGUGCGUGUGUGUGCGUGUGUGCGUGCGUGUGCGUGUGCGUGUGGGUGCGCAUGCGUGCGUGUUCACGUGUUUCAGCGUGUGUUUUUGUACGUUCAUAUGUCUGUGCGUGUGAUGCUAAUAAUCAUAUAUUAUAUAUAAUCAUCAUUCCAACGAUAUCUCAUGUUUUAUAUCGUAAUGCUUUGAUGAGAUGUAUCAUGUAGCGCUUACUUAAUAAAGACACACCAUGUCACGUCAAUGUUAAUGUAA